GAGAUGGCUCAAUGAUUAAGAGCACUUGCUUUGCAAUCAAGAGGACCUGAGUUCAGAUCUCAACAUUCUCA
rnacentral:tRNA from 1 species